rnacentral:rRNA from 1 species
AUGCACGCUGGCGGCGUGCCUAAUACAUGCAAGUCGAGCGAACGGACGAGAAGCUUGCUUCUCUGAUGUUAGCGGCGGACGGGUGAGUAACACGUGGAUAACCUACCUAUAAGACUGGGAUAACUUCGGGAAACCGGAGCUAAUACCGGAUAAUAUUUUGAACCGCAUGGUUCAAAAGUAAAAGACGGUCUUGCUGUCACUUAUAGAUGGAUCCGCGCUGCAUUAGCUAGUUGGUAAGGUAACGGCUUACCAAGGCAACGAUGCAUAGCCGAUCUGAGAGGGUGAUCGGCCACACUGGAACUGAGACACGGUCCAGACUCCUACGGGAGGCAGCAGUAGGGAAUCUUCCGCAAUGGGCGAAAGCCUGACGGAGCAACGCCGCGUGAGUGAUGAAGGUCUUCGGAUCGUAAAACUCUGUUAUUAGGGAAGAACAUAUGUGUAAGUAACUGUGCACAUCUUGACGGUACCUAAUCAGAAAGCCACGGCUAACUACGUG